AUGUUAUGGCUCACAGCUAUGAACGUGUUCUGGGUCACCGGUGUCUCCACGGGAACAAUUGCUCCUGAACAGGAGAAGGCGUUCAAGGAGGCUACCGUUGUGUUUCUCGGAGCAGUUCUUAGCGUGAUCGGAGAUAAACUGGUCGACGCAUAUUUACAUGUGCAUGUCGCCAAGGACUUGUGGGAGGCGCUCGAAUCUAAGUUCGGGGCAGCCGAUGCCGGGAGCGAGAUAUAUAUUAUAGAGCAGUUCCACGAUCACAAGAUGGUUGAAAACCGUCCUGUAUUGGAGCAGGCUCAUGAGAUAAUAUGCAUUGUUAAGGAGCUUGAACUUCUUAAGUGCGAGUUACCGGGCAAGUUUGUCGCGGGCUGCAUAAUCGCUAAGCUCCCUAAUUCCUGGAGGAACUUUGCCACCACUCUAAAACAUCAGAGGCGUGAAUUCUCUGUGGAGGAUGUCAUUGGCCAUCUGAGUGUUGAGCAGAAUUCAAGGGCAAAGGACUCGCACGGAAAAGGGGCCGAAGGGACUUCUGUCGCCAACAUGGUGAACCAGAAGAACUUCAACUCCCACAAGCCCAAGGGAAAGAACAGUGUCCAACACAAUACCGACUUUAAAAAGAAGGAUAAGAAGACCUUCAAGAAGAACAAGAAGGACGAGGGCUGCUUUACUUGUGGUUCGGUUGAACAUUGGGCCAACAAGUGCCCAAACAAGUACAAGAAGUCAGGACAGGACUCCAAGUCCGUCAACAUGAUUGUGGACAAUAAUGAGAAUGGUGCACCUGGGUACGGUAAUUUAUUUACUGUUUUUUCAGUGUUUCAACCCACCGAUUGGUGGGUGGACACAGGUGCAGGUGUACAUGUGUGUGCUGACAUGUCAUUGUUCAUUUCUUACCAGGUCAUAGGCCACGGGUCCGUAUUGAUGGUGUUGAGGAUAUAA
rnacentral:rRNA from 1 species